CGUUGUUGUCUUUUAAUUCAAUUUUUUAUUUAUUUAGUUUCAUUGAAUUCAGGGACUAUUUUCUUCUAACCCCCCAUCCCCCUCUCUCCCCUCCUCAGACCCUUAUGAUGAGCAUUCAGGCUCUCUGCGUCUCAUUGCCAUCAAACCAAUGACGGCCCAGCCCACCUACUCCUACCCCUUAUCCACUUCUCACAGCCAAGACUCAAUUGUUGUCAAUGGAGAGACAAACCAUGUUGGUCCGAAGCAGAAGCCUGACAUUGAGCACUUCAGAAACAAACUCCGUCACAAGGGCCGGAGGAAAGGCUACGGAGAGUUUUCACUGUCUGAGACUGGCAGUCAUGGUUACAGUCAUCGAGACACUCGACACAGUCGUCACGACAAUGGGGUCAAGGAGCCAAUGACGGCUGAGGAGAAGAGGGCGUCCUUUGCAGGAUGUCAUAAAAGGUAUGAAGCCAUUUCCCAUCACUAUUAAAACAGUGAGAAAAUGACUUUCCUUGCUCUGUUUCAAAUAGUGAGUUAAUGCAUUCACACAAAAAAA
rnacentral:lncRNA from 1 species